CCUACGGGUGGCAGCAGUGGGGAAUAUUGGACAAUGGGGGCAACCCUGAUCCAGCCAUGCCACGUGUGUGAAGAAGGCCCUCGGGUUGUAAAGCACUUUCAGUGAGGAAGAACGCCUGGUGGUUAAUACCCAUCAGGAAAGACAUCACUCACAGAAGAAGCACCGGCUAACUCCGUGCCAGCAGCCGCGGUAAUACGGAGGGUGCGAGCGUUAAUCGGAAUUACUGGGCGUAAAGCGCGCGUAGGUGGCUUGAUAAGCCGGUUGUGAAAGCCCCGGGCUCAACCUGGGAACGGCAUCCGGAACUGUCAAGCUAGAGUGCAGGAGAGGAAGGUAGAAUUCCCGGUGUAGCGGUGAAAUGCGUAGAGAUCGGGAGGAAUACCAGUGGCGAAGGCGGCCUUCUGGACUGACACUGACACUGAGGUGCGAAAGCGUGGGUAGCAAACAGGAUUAGAUACCCCUGUAGUC
rnacentral:rRNA from 1 species